GACAGUCCGGUGGCCUAGUGGUUAGAGCGUCCGCCUCUGAUGCUGGAGAUCGCGGGUUUGAGCUCUGGCCGAGUCA